UGGGGAAUAUUGGGCAAUGGACGAAAGUCUGACCCAGCAAUACCGCGUGAGUGAUGAAGGCGUUAUGCGUUGUAAAGCUCUUUUAACAGGGAAGAUAAUGACGUUACCUGUAGAAUAAGCACCGACUAACUAUGUGCCAGCAGUCGCGGUAAUACAUAGGGUGCUAGCGUUACUCGGAAUUAUUGGGCGUAAAGGAUGCGUAGGAGGACUUAAAAGUCAAAAGUGUAAUCCCCAAGCUUAACUUGGGAACUGCUUUUGAUACUUUAAGUCUAGAGUGAGAUAGAGGAUAGCGGAAUUUCUAGUGUAGGGGUAAAAUCCGUAGAUAUUAGAAGGAACACCAAAAGCGAAGGCAGCUAUCUGGGUCCUUACUGACUCUGAGGCAUGAAAGCGUGGGGAGCAAGCAGG
rnacentral:rRNA from 1 species